AAAGAAGAAGGUGCUGUGCACGGGCUCAUUUGACUACGCAUAGUACUGUAUUAGAGACUGAAACGGUUGGAGUUUCUACAUUUGUGUUGUACUGAAGAAACAAAAUCACAUACAUCUUGGAUGACCUCGGGACCCUUUUGCCAGUAUGAAGCCGAUUUCAACGGUAACUGCAGAAAGCGUCAGCACGCUCAGCUCAUCACUGGAGUAACGUCUGUACAACGGGUGAGAUAAAACUCAACGCCUGACUGAAUCAUCCAUUCCCUUUUCGAUCCUACGCCAUACGUUAAACUUGAGGUAAUCUUGCUUUUGCUGUUCUAAAAUAAACACUGCUCUUAGCACACCCCACCCUUACAUGGCACACAAGUAUAUGACACACAACACAGGUCUUCUCAGGAGGCUGUGCCUACAGCAAUAGGCUUUACGCCCAGCUGCACUACUUCCUGAACUUCAGCCAGCUCCUUGUUUCCUGUCUGCCAUUAUUGGACAAACUGAUUAAUCCAGGUGUGCCUGAGCUUAGUAGUCACAACAACAAUAAUCAGACACACCUGGAUUUAUCAGUUUGUCCAGUAAUGGCAGACAGGAAACAAGGAGCUGGCUGAAAUUCAGGAAGUAGUGCAGCUGGGCAUAAAGCCUAUUGCUAAGGAGAUCCUCAUCCAGCUCGAUUUUAUUAGAGAGCAGCAGUUGCAGACUUCACCCCAGACCCAACACAUUUUGGGCUCCCACUUUCAACUAUUGAGGAGCUACAAUGUUUGUAGGAGACAUUAAAUAAUCCAGAUGAGAAGAAGAAUUUGACUGUUUUUCCUGGAAUGGUCGGAGACAAGACUCUUAAAGACACCGUGGGGUGGGUCCUGAAAAAAACAAUGAACUCUUCGUGGCGAGACUCAUCAAUUGAAGUGGGGUCAACUGAAAGCCUGCAUUCAAAGGGCUCACUUUGAAAAGUGUGGUUUUGGAUGCAGUCUGCCGGAAUGCCCUGACCAAAGAUAACACAGAAAAGGAGAUAGAGCUCCUCAUCACCAGGUGGUCGGUGCUAGCAUAUGACAGGGAUGGUGGCCGAAUCCAGACAAUAGACAGACAAUGAAUUAAAAUGUUUUAAAUUUAAAAAUGUUGAUUUUUGGAAAAUUCGUAUUU